UCGAGCAGGAGAAAAGGGGAAGGGGUGUAAACCCUAACCCACAUAAAAUCAUCAAAUUGAAAAAGGAUUUGAGGGUUAAUUGAAUGCAUGAACCAAGAUUUAUGAUCACUCAAGCGCUCUUGACACCAAGAUAGGAAUCCCAAAUUGACAUGGACUCAAGUAUGGAAAGCUAACGGGUCAAGCGGAGGUGAGGAAGCAAGCAUGAACACUAACGCUUAAGGAAUGAGUACAUCGGAUUCUUAUGAAAAUUAAGCCGAAUCCGGAACAAGAGAAGGAGAAGGGUUAUUCGAAUGGAUCAAGUUACAUUAUCGAACGUUAUUCAAUCUUUAAUUAUUUGGGAUUAAUGUUAUAUGAUGUUGUCAUCGACUAAUGGCUAAGUUGUAUGUGAUGCCCACAGGUACUACACGGACUUCUUCUGCUGCUAAGGAAAGUGAAGCGGACGUAGAUCGAGUCAAGAGCAAGGAUUGUACGGAUAGAUCGGUCACAUAGUUGAAGAAUUUAAUGUCUAGAAAUCUAAAUUUUAGUAUGAAUGUUGUGAAUUCUUUUAUAGAACGUUUAACAUUUUUAGAAUUUGGAACCUUCGUGAAAGUA